rnacentral:rRNA from 1 species
CAGUUCUCCGGUCUUACCGUAGACGGAUUAAAGGAGCAGGUUCGUCCGGAAGCUCUUACCCGUAUCCAGAGCAGUCUCGUAUUAGAGCAGAUCGCUAAGGAAGAAAAUAUCGAAGUAUCUGAUGCAGAUGUAGAUGCAGAGAUCGAGAAGAUGGCAAAGAAUUACGGUAUGGAAGCUGAUAAGCUCAAAGAGUACAUGGGCGAAGGCGAGAAAGAAUCCAUGAAGAGAGAACUUGCCAUCACAAAGGCAGUUGAACUGAUCAUGGACAACAUCAAAGAAAGAGCAAAGGCUAAGACAAAGAAAGAAAAAGAAGCUGAGGCGAAGCAUCGAGCUCUCUUUUGAGCGAAGUGAUUGGAUGUGCUUCCAGGAAAAGCCUCUAAGCUCCAGUUCAGCGGGACCGUACCGCAAACCGACACUGGUGGGCGAGCUGAAUAUGCUCAGGCGCUUGAGAGAACUCGGGAGAAGGAACUCGGCAAAUUGACACCGUAACUUCGGAAGAAGGUGUGCCGUAGUAGCGUGAGAGGAGAGACUCCUCGAGCGUGAAUCGGUCUCAGAGAAUAGGUGGCUGCGACUGUUUAUUAAAAACACAGCACUCUGCAAAGUCGAAAGACGACGUAUAGGGUGUGAUGCCUGCCCGGUGCUGGAAGAUUAAUUGAUGGGGUGCAAGCUCCUGAUCGAAGUCCCAGUAAACGGCGGCCGUAACUAUAACGGUCCUAAGGUAGCGAAAUUCCUUGUCGGGUAAGUUCCGACCUGCACGAAUGGCAUAACGAUGGCCACACUGUCUCCUCCUGAGACUCAGUGAAGUUGAAGUGUUUGUGAUGAUGCAAUCUCCCCGCGGCUAGACGGAAAGACCCCAUGAACCUUUACUGUAGCUUUGCAUUGGACUUUGAACCGAUCUGUGUAGGAUAGGCGGGAGCCUGUGAAACCACAACGCCAGUUGUGGCGGAGGCGUCCUUGAAAUACCGCCCUGAUUUGUUUGAGGUUCUAACCUGGGACAGUCAUCCUGUCCGGGGACCGUGCAUGGUAGGCAGUUUGACUGGGGCGGUCUCCUCCUAAAGGGUAACGGAGGAGUACGAAGGUACGCUAGGUACGGUCGGAAAUCGUGCUGAUAGUGCAAUGGCAAAAGCGUGCUUGACUGCGAGAGCAACAACUCGAGCAGAUGCGAAAGCAGGUCAUAGUGAUCCGGUGGCUCUGAAUGGAAGGGCCAUCGCUCAACGGAUAAAAGGUACUCUGGGGAUAACAGGCUGAUACCGCCCAAGAGUUCAUAUCGACGGCGGUGUUUGGCACCUCGAUGUCGGCUCAUCUCAUCCUGGGGCUGUAGUCGGUCCCAAGGGUAUGGCUGUUCGCCAUUUAAAGAGGUACGUGAGCUGGGUUUAAAACGUCGUGAGACAGUUUGGUCCCUAUCUGCCGUGGGCGUUGGAAGAUUGACGGGGGCUGCUCCUAGUACGAGAGGACCGGAGUGGACGCACCUCUGGUGUACCGGUUGUCACGCCAGUGGCAUUGCCGGGUAGCUAAGUGCGGAAGAGAUAACCGCUGAAAGCAUCUAAGCGGGAAACUUGCCUGAAGAUGAGUCUUCCCGGAGGUAAAACCUCCCUCAAGAGUCGUCCGAGACCAGGACGUCGAUAGGUCAGGUGUGUAAGCGCUGUGAGGCGUUGAGCUAACUGAUACUAAUUGCUCGUGAGGCUUGAUC